CCAUGGAUGCACAGUUCAUAAAAAUACGAAUCAACGCAAAAUUCAAAAGAAAAUUUGAAACAAGCAAUCCAUGCCCCACAAAACCCCAGAUGUCAAAUUCGUCGUCGUGUGAGAAUACUGGAAAAAUAUCAGUAUAGUUCGGAGCGUCGGAAGUUAAACACAUAAAAAUAAAAUUCUAAAUUUCAAAAUUUUGUAAAAUAUUUAUUUCGGUUUUUAAUUUCGGUUUUUUUUUUCAAUUAGGUUUAAGCAUAAAAGUGAUUAGUUUUUUUUAGUUUUUAAAGUUAAGCAUAAAGUGAAAGUCGUACAAAAUAAUAAUACUUCCCCAAGAUACACAAGGCAUACAAAUACUUCUGCAAGAUCCAUCCAAGACACAUCUGUUGAUUGUUUCACAAGAGCCGCAAGCAGAGAGUCCAUAUUCAUAAAUACCUGGCAAAAAAAAAACUACAAAACAUACGGCUGUAAACUGUGGUGGCACAAGAAGAUACAAUUAUACUUCAUUUUACCGCUUUUCUACACAAACCUACAUAAAUACGGACACUCUACGUCCAUAUUCAUAAAUACCUGGCGAAAAGAAAACUACAAAUCGUACGGCUGUAAACUGUGGCGGCGCAAUGAGGUACAACACGGCUUCUUCGGAUAGUUUUUCUACACAAACCUACAUAAAUACGGGCAUCUGAUGAAUCUGGGGGCUCCGAGUAGAAUCGCAAGUAGAACCAAUACUUUGUUUUGACACUGAUUCUGCUAUCGGAAAUUAGAUACUGUGGUUAUCGGGUGAAUGGAUAGGAAUAUUAUAUUUUGCUACUAAUAAUUAUAUUACUCGUGAUUAUAUUUUGAUACUAAAACACACAAAGAUGUUUAAUUGUUUGACUGAACCAGAAUGGGGUAGGACUCUAAAAGUUUCCAGCAAAAUGCUGAUUUACUUUCGGGGACAUGCAUUGAAUAUCCCCAUUCCCCUUUUGGAAAAUUUUCCACAACUAAGAAUUCUUUUCGAUAUACUCGCAGAUGUAUAAAACCCCCGAGGGCAUGCUAUUAUUCAAGAUUUCAUCUUUAGUUUUACAAAUAUUUCCAGUAAACACAUGUACGUGUGUAUGUAUAUAUGAAUAUGUAUACUAUUACGACAAACAAUAUAUAAAUAUGGGAAUAUGGAUUAAACCUAGAACUUGUUGUUGGGAAUGACUCAUCCCUCGGCAGCAACGGGUACGUUGAGGACGGGCUUUGCCUCCAGAGCUGGUUCCUGGGCAGGCUGUGACUGGACGAGCACCUUGGUGGGCAGGAGAUGCUUGAGGGGCUCUAGGAUGCGCGCCUGCUGCAGAUAGGUGAGCUGCUGCUGCUCCAGCUGCAGGAGGCUGAUGCCCAGGUGAACGGUGAGCGACUGGGGCGGGAAGAUGCCAUGGAUGCACAGUUCAUAAAAAUACGAAUCAACGCAAAAUUCAAAAGAAAAUUUGAAACAAGCAAUCUAUGCCCCACAAAACCCCAGAUGUCAAAUUCGUCGUCGUGUGAGAAUACUGGAAAAAUAUCAGUAUAGGUCGGAGCGUCGGAAGUUAAACACAUAAAAAUAAAAUUCUUAAUUUCAAAAUUUUGUAAAAUAUUUAUUUCGGUUUUUAAUUUCGGUUUUUUUUUUUCAAUUAGGUUUAAGCAUAAAAGUGAUUAGUUUUUUUUAGUUUUUAAAGUUAAGCAUAAAGUGAAAGUCGUACAAAAUAAUAAUACUUCCCCAAGAUACACAAGGCAUAAAAAUACUUCUCCAAGAUCCAUCCAAGACACAUCUGUUGAUUGUUUCACAAGAGCCGCAAGCAGAUAGUCCAUAUUCAUAAAUACCUGGCAAAAAAAAAAAUACAAAACAUACGGCUGUAAACUGUGCUGGCACAAGAAGAUACAAUUAUACUUCAUUUGACCGCUUUUCUACACAAACCUACAUAAAUACGGACACUCUACGUCCAUAUUCAUAAAUACCUGGCGAAAAGAAAACUACAAAUCGUACGGCUGUAAACUGUGGCGGCGCAAUGAGAUACAACACGGCUUCUUCGGAUAGUUUUUCUACACAAACCUACAUAAAUACGGGCAUCUGAUGAAUCUGGGGGCUCCGAGUAGAAUCGCAAGUAGAACCAAUACUUUGUUUUGACACUAAGAUUCGGCUAUCGGAAAUUAGAUACUGUGGUUAUCGGGUGAAUGGAUAGGAAUAUUAUAUUUUGCUACUAAUAAUUAUAUUACUCGUGAUUAUAUUUUGAUACUAAAACACACAAA